rnacentral:rRNA from 1 species
UACGUAGGGGGCAAGCGUUGUCCGGAUUCAUUGGGCGUAAAGAGCGUGUAGGCGGCCAGGUAGGUCGGUUGUGAAAACUGGAGGCUCAACCUUCAGAGGUCGACCGAAACCAUCUGGCUAGAGUCCGGGAGAGGAGAGUGGAAUUCCUGGUGUAGCGGUGAAAUGCGCAGAUAUCAGGAAGAACACCCGUGGCGAAAGCGGCUCUCUGGAACGGUACUGACGCUGAGACGCGAAAGCGUGGGGAGCAAACCGG